rnacentral:rRNA from 1 species
GGUGGGCCCGCGACCUAUCAGCUUGUCGGUGGGGUAACGGCCUACCGAGGCUCUGACGGGUAGCUGGUCUGAGAGGACGACCAGCCACACGGGGACUGAGACACGGCCCCGACUCCUACGGGAGGCAGCAGUAAGGAAUCUUCCGCAAUGGGCGAAAGCCUGACGGAGCGACGCCGCGUGUGGGAUGAAGUCUCUCGGGAUGUAAACCACUGUCGGAGGGGAGGAGAAUGGACGGUACCCUCCAAGAAAGCCCCGGCUAACUACGUGCCAGCAGCCGCGGUAAUACGUAGGGGGCAAGCGUUACUCGGAUUCACUGGGCGUAAAGCGCGUGUAGGCGGCUGGUCAAGCGUGAUGUGAAAUCUCCGGGCUCAACCCGGAAACUGCAUCGCGAACUGGCCUGGCUGGAGUGCAGGAGAGGGAUGUGGAAUUCCCGGUGUAGCGGUGAAAUGCGUAGAUAUCGGGAGG